rnacentral:lncRNA from 1 species
CGGAUGCGGAACGGCGACGAGCCGAUCCGCCGCUCGGCUCGGGGUGCGGACCGUUGCGGGCCGCGCUGGCGGCCGAAGCCCGGGCGGUCGAUCCCGCCCGUGGAGGUGCCGUCGGCACGGCCGGGGAUGCGGCGCGCGCCUUCUCGGCGUGCCCCCGGUGUUAGAAGUAUGCCCUAGAAGCCAAUCUGGCUGACACAUUAUUAAUUCUAGGACAUAAUUUGGUACUUGACUUUAUUAUUAUUGAUUAAUAAAUGGGCAUUCUUUUCAUUCAUAUUGUUUAUGUGUCUAUGAAUCGUCCAAGAAAUUAAUAAGAUGAUGAUGCAUAUUCUCAAGAGUUGAGAAUUUGAGCCAUGUAUCAUUGGUGGUUAAUUUCUAAAUGCUCCUG